rnacentral:rRNA from 1 species
AGUCGUAACAAGGUUUCCGUAGGUGAACCUGCGGAAGGAUCAUUAAUAAGGAUACCGGGCAACCGGUAACCCCACCCGUGUCUAUUUACUCUUGUUGCUUUGGCAGGCCGUGGUCUCCACGGCGGGCUCUGCCCGCCAGCGCCUGCCAGAGGACCAAACUCUGAAUUUUAGUGAUGUCUGAGUACUAUAUAAUAGUUAAAACUUUCAACAACGGAUCUCUUGGUUCUGGCAUCGAUGAAGAACGCAGCGAAAUGCGAUAAGUAAUGUGAAUUGCAGAAUUCAGUGAAUCAUCGAAUCUUUGAACGCACAUUGCGCCCGGUGGUAUUCCGCCGGGCAUGCCUGUUCGAGCGUCAUUAUAACCACUCAAGCCUGGCUUGGUAUUGGGGUACGCGAUCCCGUGGCCCCUAAAAUCAGUGGCGGUGCCGGUUGGCUCUAAGCGUAGUAAUACUCCUCGCUACAGACCCUUUCCGGUUCCCUGCCAGAACCCCCCAUUUUUACAGGUUGACCUCGGAUCAGGUAGGGAUACCCGCUGAACUUAAGCAUAUCAAUAAGCGGAGGAAAAGAAACCAACAGGGAUUACCUCAGUAACGGCGAGUGAAGCGGUAACAGCUCAAAUUUGAAAGCUGCCAACAGGCCGCGUUGUAAUUUGUAGAAGAUGCUUUGGGGAUCGGCCUGGUCUAAGUUCCUUGGAACAGGACGUCAUAGAGGGUGGGAAUCCCGUACGUGACCGGUGCCGGCACCCGUGUAAAGCUCUUUCGACGAGUCGAGUUGUUUGGGAGUGCAGCUCAAAAUGGGUGGUAAAUUUCAUCUAAAGCUAAAUAUUGGCCAGAGACCGAUAGCGCACAAGUAGAGUGAUCGAAAGAUAAAAAGCACUUUGGAAAGAGAGUUAAACAGUACGUGAAAUUGUUGAAAGGGAAGCGCUUGCAACCAGACUUGCGGGCGGUCGAUCAUCCGAGGUUCUCCCCGGUGCACUCGAUCGUUCUCAGGCCAGCAUCGGUUUUGGUGGUGGGAUAAAGGCGUCGGGAAUGUGGCUCUUCGGAGUGUUAUAGCCCAGCGUGCAAUGCCGCCUACCGGGACCGAGGACCGCGCUUCGGCUAGGAUGCUGGCGUAAUGGUUGUAAGCGACC